rnacentral:rRNA from 1 species
AUUGAACGCUGGCGGCAGGCCUAACACAUGCAAGUCGAGCGAGCGGCGCACGGGUGAGAAAUGUCUGGGAAACUGCCGCUGGUGGGGGAGAACUACUGGAAAAGGUAGCUAAUACCGCAUCCCAUCAGAUGAUCCCAGAUGGGAUUAGCUACUAGGUGGGGUAACGGCUCACCAAGGCGACGAUCCCUAGCUGGUCUGAGAGGAGGACCAGCCACACUGGAACGGAGACACGGUCCAGACGCCUACGGGAGGCAGCAGUGGGGAAUAUUGCACAAUGGGCGCAAGCCUGAUGCAGCCAUGCCGCGUGUGUGAAGAAGGCCUUCGGGUUGUAAAGCACUUUCAGCGGGGAGGCGUUACCCGCAGAAGAAGCACCGGCUAACUCCGUGCCAGCAGCCGCGGUAAUAC